CCUCUGGCAGUCCAGUGGUUAAGACUCUGAACUUCCACUUCAGGGGUCACAGGUUCAAUCCUUGAUUGGGGGA
rnacentral:tRNA from 1 species